rnacentral:rRNA from 1 species
AGAGUUUGAUCCUGGCUCAGGAUGAACGCUGGCGGCGUGCUUAACACAUGCAAGUCGAACGAAGCGCGCGGAAGGAAGGCCUUCGGGCCGGAGAGCCGCGGGACUGAGUGGCGGACGGGUGAGUAACGCGUGGGCAACCUGCCCCGUACAGGGGGAUAACAGCCGGAAACGGCUGCUAAUACCGCAUAAGCGCACAGCGCCGCAUGGCGCGGUGUGAAAAGCUCCGGCGGUACGGGAGGGGCCCGCGUCUGAUUAGGCAGUUGGCGGGGCAGCGGCCCACCAAACCGACGAUCAGUAGCCGGCCUGAGAGGGCGGCCGGCCACAUUGGGACUGAGACACGGCCCAAACUCCUGCGGGAGGCAGCAGUGGGGAAUAUUGCACAAUGGGGGAAACCCUGAUGCAGCGACGCCGCGUGAGCGAAGAAGUAUUUCGGUAUGUAAAGCUCUAUCAGCAGGGAAGAAAAAAAUGACGGUACCUGAGUAAGAAGCACCGGCUAAAUACGUGCCAGCAGCCGCGGUAAUACGUAUGGUGCAAGCGUUAUCCGGAUUUACUGGGUGUAAAGGGAGCGUAGGCGGCGCGUUAAGUCUGAUGUGAAAACCCGAGGCUCAACCACGGGAGUGCAUUGGAAACUGGCGAGCUGGAGUGCCGGAGAGGUAAGCGGAAUUCCUAGUGUAGCGGUGAAAUGCGUAGAUAUUAGGAGGAACACCAGUGGCGAAAGCGGCUCUCUGGUCUGUAACUGACGCUGAGGUUCGAAAGCGUGGGUAGCAAACAGGAUUAGAUACCCUGGUAGUCCACGCCGUAAACGAUGAAUGCUAAGUGUUGGAGGGUUUCCGCCCUUCAGUGCUGCAGCUAACGCAAUAAGCAUUCCGCCUGGGGAGUACGACCGCAAGGUUGAAACUCAAAGGAAUUGACGGGGGCCCGCACAAGCGGUGGAGCAUGUGGUUUAAUUCGAAGCAACGCGAAGAACCUUACCAGGUCUUGACAUCUUUUGACAAUCCUAGAGAUAGGACUUUCCCUUCGGGGACAAAAUGACAGGUGGUGCAUGGUUGUCGUCAGCUCGUGUCGUGAGAUGUUGGGUUAAGUCCCGCAACGAGCGCAACCCUUAUUGUUAGUUGCCAGCAUUAAGUUGGGCACUCUAGCAAGACUGCCGGUGACAAACCGGAGGAAGGUGGGGAUGACGUCAAAUCAUCAUGCCCCUUAUGAUCUGGGCUACACACGUGCUACAAUGGACGGUACAACGAGUCGCAAGACCGCGAGGUUUAGCAAAUCUCUUAAAGCCGUUCUCAGUUCGGAUUGUAGGCUGCAACUCGCCUACAUGAAGUCGGAAUCGCCAGUAAUCGCGGAUCAGCAUGCCGCGGUGAAUACGUUCCCGGGCCUUGCACUCACCGCCCGUCA